UACAGAGGGUGCAAGCGUUAAUCGGAAUUACUGGGCGUAAAGCGUGCGUAGACGGUUAUGUAAGUCAGAUGUGAAAGCCCCGGGCUCAACCUGGGAAUUGCAUUUGAGACUGCAUAGCUAGGAUGCGGAAGAGGGAAGUGGAAUUUCCGGUGUAGCGGUGAAAUGCGUAGAUAUCGGAAGGAACACCGGUGGCGAAAGCGGCUUACUGGGUCUCUUCUGACGCUGAGGAACGAAAGCUAGGGUAGCGAACGGG
rnacentral:rRNA from 1 species